rnacentral:misc_RNA from 1 species
UCCGGUUUAGACCGGCGGUCUCCUUAGAGUUCCCACCAUUACGUGCUGGCAACUAAGGACAAGGGUUGCGCUCGUUGCGGGACUUAACCCAACAUCUCACGACACGAGCUGACGACAGCCAUGCAGCACCUGUGUUCCAGCCAGCCGAACUGAAGGGUUCCAUCUCUGGCACCCAUACUGGACAUGUCAAAGGUUGGUAAGGUUCUGCGCGUUGCUUCGAAUUGAACCACAUGCUCCACCGCUUGUG